GAUGAACGCUAGCGGCAGGCCUAAUACAUGCAAGUCGAACGGUGUCUUCGGACAUAGUGGCGCACGGGUGCGUAACACGUAUGCAACCUACCUUACAUUGGGGGAUAGCCUUUCGAAAGGGAGAUUAAUACCGCAUAAGACAGUAGCUGGGCAUCCAGCAGCUGUUAAAGAUUUAUCGAUGUAAGCUGGGCAUGCGUCCAAUUAGCUAGUUGGUGAGGUAAUGGCUCACCAAGGCAAUGAUUGGUAGGGGAACUGAGAGGUCAAUCCCCCACACUGGCACGUGGAUACGAGCCAGACUCAUACGGGAGGCAGCAGUAGGGAAUAUUGGGCAAUGGACGCAAGUCUGACCCAGCCAUGCCGCGUGUAGGAUGAAGGCGUUAUGCGUUGUAAACUGCUUUUAUACAGGAAGAAACGACUCUUGCGAGAGGCAUUGACGGUACUGUAUGAAUAAGCACCGGCUAACUCCGUGCCAGCCGCCGCCGUAACAC
rnacentral:rRNA from 1 species